GGGGGUGUAGCUUAACGGUGAAAGCCCGCCGCUCAUAACGGUGUUAUUGCAGGUUCGAAUCCUGCCACCCCCA
rnacentral:tRNA from 1 species